AAACUGAACAGCUAGAGUAUGGUAGGGGCAGAGGGAAUUCCUGGUGUAGCGGUGAAAUGCGUAGAGAUCAGGAAGAACAUCGGUGGCGAAGGCGCUCUGCUGGACCAUAACUGACACUCAGGGACGAAAGCUAGGGGAGCGAAUGGGAUUAGAUACCCUGGUAGUCCACGCCGUAAACGAUGAGUGCUAGGUGUUGGAUCCUUUCCGGGAUUCAGUGCCGCAGCUAACGCAUUAAGCACUCCGCCUGGGGAGUACGACCGCAAGGUUGAAACUCAAAGGAAUUGACGGGGCCCGCACAAGCGGUGGAGCAUGUGGUUUAAUUCGAAGCAACGCGAAGAACCUUACCAGGUCUUGACAUCCCGAUGCUAUUUCUAGAGAUAGAAAGUUACUUCGGUACAUCGGUGACAGGUGGUGCAUGGUUGUCGUCAGCUCGUGUCGUGAG
rnacentral:rRNA from 1 species